GACGAACCGUGCAAACGUUGUUCGGAAUCACUGGGCUUAAAGGGCGCGUAGGCGGCCAACCAAGUCAGUGGUGAAAUCCUGCAGCUUAACUGUAGAAGUGCCUUUGAUACUGGUUGGCUCGAGGGAGGUAGGGGUAUGUGGAACUUCUGGUGGAGCGGUGAAAUGCGUUGAUAUCAGAAGGAACGCCGGUGGCGAAAGCGACGUACUGGACCUCUUCUGACGCUGAGGCGCGAAAGCUAGGGGAGCAAACGGG
rnacentral:rRNA from 2 species